rnacentral:rRNA from 1 species
GUCCACGCCGUAAACGAUGAUAACUAGCUGUCCGGGCACUUGGUGCUUGGGUGGCGCAGCUAACGCAUUAAGUUAUCCGCCUGGGGAGUACGGCCGCAAGGUUAAAACUCAAAGAAAUUGACGGGGGCCUGCACAAGCGGUGGAGCAUGUGGUUUAAUUCGAAGCAACGCGCAGAACCUUACCAACGUUUGACAUGUCCAGUAUGGUUAGUGGAGACACUUUCCUUCAGUUCGGCUGGCUGGAACACAGGUGCUGCAUGGCUGUCGU